rnacentral:rRNA from 1 species
CCUUUAAAGAGUGCGUAAUAGCUCACUGGUCAAGUGGUCCUGCGCGGAAAAUAUAACGGGGCUAAGCUUAGCACCGAAGCCAUGGACUUCCGCUUCGGCGGGAUUGGUAGGGGAGCGUUCUGCCAGCAGUGAAGGUCGACCGUAAGGACGGCUGGAGCGGGCAGAAGUGAGAAUGCAGGCAUGAGUAGCGAGAAACACGUGAGAACCGUGUUCGCCGUAAGUCUAAGGUUUCCGACGGCAGGUCAAUCCGCGUCGGGUUAGUCGGGCCUUAGCCGAGGCCGAAAGGCGUAGGUGAUGGACAUCCGGUCAACAUUCCGGAACCAUUCAGGAGGAGCGAAGUGGGGACGCAGCGGGGUAGGCCAGCCCACGAUUGGUAGAGUGGGUGUAAGUGUGUAGGUGAUGAGGCUCGUGAGGAAAUCUGCGAGCUGAGCCGAGGCACGAAAGCGAGCCCCUGAGGCAGAAGUGGUUGAGCCCUGCUGCCAAGAAAAGCCACUAAGCGAUGAGACCUGAGUGCCCGUACCGCAAACCGACACAGGUAGACGGGUAGAGAAUACCAAGGCGAACGGGGGAACCUUCGUUAAGGAAUUAGGCAAAUUAGCCCCGUAACUUCGGGAUAAGGGGUGCCUCCUGACGUGACAUUUGAACAGAUGAAGCGCUGGGAGGUCGCAGUGAAAUGGCUCUAGUGACUGGUUAACAAAACCACAGGUCUCUGCAAAGCCGAAAGGCGAUGUAUAGGGGCUGACACCUGCCCAGUGCCGGAAGGUUAAGGGGAGGGGUUAGCGCAAGCGAAGCUCUGAACCGAAGCCCCGGUGAACGGCGGCCGUAACUAUAACGGUCCUAAGGUAGCGAAAUUCCUUGUCGGGUAAGUUCCGACCCGCACGAACGGUGUAACAACUAGAGCACUGUCUCAACGAAGGACCCGGUGAAAUUGAAAUAGGCGUGAAGAUGCGUCUUACCCGCAGCAGGACAAAAAGACCCCGUGGAGCUUUACUGUAGCUUGGCAUUGAGUUUGGGGAUGAUCUGUGUAGGAUAGGUGGGAGGCUGUGAAGCUGGGGCGUCAGCCUCGGUGGAGCCGACGGUGAAAUACCACCCUGAUCAUGUCUAGACCCUAACCCCACACCGUAAACCGGGUGGGGGACCGUGCCAGGUGGGCAGUUUGACUGGGGCGGUCGCCUCCUAAAAGGUAGCGGAGGCGCCCAAAGGUUCCCUCAGGUUGAAUGGAAACCAACCGAAGAGUGUAAAGGCAUAAGGGAGCUUGACUGCAAGACCAACGCGUCGAGCAGAGUCGAAAGACGGGCUUAGUGAUCCCACGGUACCGAGUGGAAGGGCCGUGGCUCUACGGAUAAAAGCUACCCCGGGGAUAACAGGCUGGUGAAGUCCAAGAGUUCAUAUCGACGACUUCGCUCGGCACCUCGAUGUCGGCUCAUCGCAUCCUGGGGCUGGAUAAGGUCCCAAGGGUCGGGCUGUUCGCCCGUUAAAGCGGUACGCGAGCUGGGUUCAGACCGUCGUGAGACAGGUCGGUCUCUAUCCG